GCCGCUCUAGUGGCUUCGGGGCCUGAAACCCCAGGCUUGGCUUGUUUGAUGUUUAGCAUCCCAAAGCGGCUCCCCACCCCCGCCCCAGCCUGGGAACCCCGAGCUCCGGGGCCGAAGAGAAGGGGAAGCAGUUCUCUCAGCUGGAGGGCGGUGGAUUGGCUGGGCUUAGAGAAGUGGCGAAAACUACAGGACUCCCCGCCCUGAGCAGGGGAGAAAGGGAUCCCGGAAUGAUGCGGUCAUCCAUGAGGAUAUAGCUGGAGUCCUAAAGGCCAAGAGGCAGACGGGGAAAGAAAUGUCACAAUUUGGGGGAAUACACUGGAGAUAGGGGCCAGGUCGGUGGAAAUAGCUUGGGGCCACCGCGAAAACAAGGUAAGCGGUGUCUGGGUCCAGUUAGUGAGCAUCGAGAACGGCGUCCACGACUGCAGGGCUAUCAGGGCCUCGAGGAGACAGCGCUCCGUGCCACUGCUUAGUGCUUGGCCUUUCAUAGGGACGAACCUGCUUAGGAGUCUUCCAAGAGAUUUUUAAAUCCUCCGAGUCUGGACCUGGAAGCUCCAUUGGCGACGUUUGGAUCUGGCUUCGUAGUCUUUGAUUUCGAAAGCCCAGGAAGAUUCGCAGACUUUCAAGGCCGCACACACCGCAUUGCCGGGAGUCUGGGCGGCGGUGAGGACUGAGAAGCUGUCUCAAGACCUGAGUCUCUUCUCAGGCGAUCCCAGAUAAGAGGAGAGAGAGAGAGCUUUUCUGACUUCCAACUCAUUAGGGACCAGAUUUGCUCUCCAGCACAGCAAAAGGGUCUGCCUGUGACCCUCACCGAACUCACUCUUCACUGCUUUAUAGAGACCAUCAGACUCAGGACAAAUAUUCUAGUUUGGAUGCGCAAUUAAUAAUAAGAAGAUACAGGACAGAGGCGGACUGAAUGGCUCCAAUUCUCAGAAUGUGAAAGCGUAAAUCAGAACCUACUAUUUUGUAAAACCAACUUGGAAAACAAAAUUGUCAGAAGCAAAACAACAACAACAACAACAAUAAAAACCAAACCAACAACAAAACCAAGCAAGUCAGGCUGUUUUACCAAUAAAGGGGGCACUGAAUGGAAUCAGAGAUCUGAUAAGUGCCGGGAAGUUGGACUAAGAGGGACAGGAGACUUCGAAACUUCUCUGAAUACUGCUUUGCUGCUGACUUCCAAGGAGAUCUCACCAGAGCUGAGCUGAAGCCAGGACCAUAGUGUUAUUGACAUUACCCCCAGAGACAUGAAGAAACAUCUGCUGCCCCUAGAUAUGAAACCAACACAGACCAAACCAACUGUCAGUACUGCAAGUGGUCCACCCACCAAAGAGAUGGAACUCAACGUGGUAGAAUAGAAGCUGAGACAUGUGGACUUGACAGACUUGAGACUCGGCUAUUCAUCCCAGCUCUGAGAGCCCAUGCAGCUCAUUGAGCCUUCGCGACUCCUGGUUUUACUUUCAGCAAAAUGGAGAUAUUAAGCUCUGGGAUCAGUACACGUCAACCUGAACCCGGAAGAGUUCCAAGUAUCUUUCCCCUUCUCUGUCAGGUUCGUGUUACCCUGAACCUGUGAGCUCAGAAGGAAUUUUCUGGUUUUCGGGAGACGGCAGCCAUUCAUCAUAGCUCUCCACCACUGACUGACUGAGAGUCAAUUAUCAUCAAACAUCCAUCUGCCCAUGUCUUUCUAGAAGACUCACUUGUUGCCGUCUCGACGAAUAGCAACCCUGUAGAAGUGCACACAGUGUGGCAGCUCAGCAGACUCAGCCAUUAACUGGUAAGAAGCCCAGAUCUUUGUUCCUGGAACCACAGGAAACAAGUUCUGUCAAGAGCUUAAGUGAGUUUGGAAGAGAUUGCUUUCCCAGUCGAGCCUACAGACCGGAACAGUUGGAGAGACACUUUGCCUGUGGCUUACUGAUGCCUGAAGCAGAAGGCUUGUCUGAGUCAUAUCCUGACCUUACGCUAACUGUGAGAUAGUCCUGGUUGUUUUAAACCACUAGACUGUGCUCAUUUGCUUUUCAGAACUAGAAAAUAGACAUUUGAUGCCAUCCACACGCUACAUCCCAUGCAGACACUCUGUGAGGGCUUGGAGUGGCCCUGAGAACCUAAGGCUAAUAUUGCCUGCACUUUACAGAUAAAGAAGUCAAUUUGCUUCAGUGUGAUCCAUGUUUCAACUUAAGUGUGGUUUAAGAUAUAUCUCCUCAGAUACAAAUACAUUUAAGAAACAUUCUCCUUGGCGUACACUGGCCGUAAGAUGAGUGGUUUUCUAAAGCCCACAUUAUUUGUAAAGAAACUUGCUCUGGUUUUUAUUAUUUUUAAGAGACAUAUGAUAUAUGCGUAUAUUUAUCCCACUGAAAUAAUAUUGGAUACGUAAUAGGAAAUUUUCUUUCUUGUGCUCACAGCAAUAACUAUAAACCAUUUAGAGGGGGAGAGCAUUCAUACAGGUCCACUCCACACAGGCCUGGUGCUUUCUCUGGAAUCAGAGCCUCCAGAUGCUAAUUAUUCCUACUCCAUGAUUGAGGAUUUGGAGUCGGAGACUCACCUGCAAUAUUUGGAAUACCAGUGGAGAUCCAUAUCAACAUGGAAUUUAUACAGCAGCUGGUGCCAGUCACAGCUAAUGAUGAAACUUCAGCUUAAUAAAAAGACCCCCAACUGAGUACAACCAUCUCGAAGAAAGUGUACUUAUCAAACAGCUUUCAAUCAGUUCAAGAGAGACACCUUAAUUGUGAAGAGCAAGAACCGCACAGCAGUUGUCACCAUGCCAACUUCAGAUCAAUGGCACUUCCACUGCUCUUGGUACAUAUAGCCUUGCCUAUGUCCUUAACUGCACCAACAUCCUUCCUGUUGGGAUGAGAUCUUGUCAGCUGCUAGCGUGUGAUGAUGCCUUCGUUCAUUACAUUACUAUACCCCUUAGCAAAAUUUAAACGUGUAAUGAUAAAGGUCACUACCUUUUCCUUUAAUUAAGACCUCUAUUUCUUGUUACCAGAAACAAGUGCCUAUGACAUUUUGUAUUUUCAGAAAUUAUCCUGUUGAAAUAAAGCUACACAAACAAAAUAAAA